rnacentral:rRNA from 1 species
UGGGGAAUAUUGCACAAUGGGCGAAAGCCUGAUGCAGCAACGCCGCGUGAGUGAUGAAGGCCUUCGGGUUGUAAAGCUCUGUCUUUUGGGACGAUAAUGACGGUACCAAAGGAGGAAGCCACGGCUAACUACGUGCCAGCAGCCGCGGUAAUACGUAGGUGGCAAGCGUUGUGCCGGAUUUACUGGGCGUAAAGGAUGCGUAGGCGGAUUUUUAAGUGAGAUGUGAAAUACCCGGGCUUAACUUGGGUGCUGCAUUUCAAACUGGAAUCUAGAGUGCGGGAGAGGAGAAUGGAAUUCCUAGUGUAGCGGUGAAAUGCGUAGAGAUUAGGAGAACACCAGUGGCGAAGGCGAUUCUCUGGACCGUAACUGACGCUGAGGCAUGAAAGCGUGGGUAGCAAACAGGAUUAGAUACCCUGGUAGUCCACGCCGUAAACGAUGAGUACUAGGUGUAGGAGGUAUCGACCCCUUCUGUGCCGCAGUUAACA